rnacentral:rRNA from 1 species
CGGGACUGAGAGGUGGCCGGCCACAUUGGGACUGAGACACGGCCCAGACUCCUACGGAAGGCAGCAG